ensembl:lncRNA
AUCAAAUCAAACAUAGCCAUGCAGUCUCCUUAGACAGACACUGGCAGUAGAAUGGGUCAUACUGAAGGGCUCAGUGACUUUAAACAUGGCACUGUUAUAGGAUGCCAUGUUUACCACAGAAAGUUUGUGAAAUUUCUAGUGUGACAGAUCUUCACCAAACAACUGUAAGUGUUGCAUCACUCACUACAGAGUUCCAAGCUGCCUCGUGAAGCAACAUCAAGAACUGUACUGAAAUGGGUUUCUGUGGAGUGGUGUAAAGCAUAUUGCCACUGGAGCAAUGGAGAAGUGUUCUCUGAAGUGAUGAAUCACGAUACAAAGAGGUAAAUGGAGUUCCCCUUUACAAUCUGUGAGUGAAGUGCUCCAUGAUGCUUCAGAAAGGCAUGUGUGUGAAGAUCUAAGGCAGGGGUGCACAUCUCUGGGGCUGGAGAGCCGGUGUCCAGCAUGGUUUUGUAGCUGCCCCUCUCAAACACACCCACUGACCCUGGCAAUGAGCAUAUCAGCACGAACUGCUGCCGUGGAUGGAUUACAGUGAACGAGGACUACAGGGAGUGACCUGGUGAUUAAAUGGAG